GGGUGUGCGGGUCCUCAGUUCCUCCACGGCCAAUUGGGGGCGCCAGAGAGCAGCGGCCGCCCCUCCGCAGACAGCGCGUGGGAGGGCCUGGAAUCCCAGGCGGGCGUCUGGCUGGUUGGAGUCUCUCGGCCAAGAGACUGACCUCUCAGAGCCUCUCUGCUUGGGUGAAACAGGGCCUGCCCCUCGGUGAUGCGCGAGAGGUUAAUGAACUGAAAUGAGCCUACUAGGCUUCUAAGUAAUGAAGGCCUCAAACCCCAUCACCAGCCGAGUUCCCCAAAGAAGGGGUGGGUUGGGGAGGGAGAGGAGUUUCUGAGCCUUUCCGGCAGAGCUCCCUCUGCUGUUCACGGCCAGGCCGGUCCUUGUUUAUCCCAGUGUUACUUUCUCCAGAGUGCCUGCCAUGCUUGGGUCAUUUUCUACCUUCUCUGCACAUGUUAUCCUGAGCUCUGGGAAGGCAGCCUCUGUCUCUGCCCCUCCUGAAAUCAGAGUCAAGCCCAGAGACUGACCCAAAGAAGGUGCUGGAUAAAAUCUUA
rnacentral:lncRNA from 1 species